GUAUGGAGUCCCUCGUUGAUCUUGUGCUCAAUGAUGCUCUAUUCAAUAAAUUAUCCUUGGUCUGGUUCUAUAUGAUGAUCUGACCCUAAAGCCAAAGUGGUACACUACAGAUAUGUUACUCCUGAAUGAGAAGCGCGAUCCUAACAGAUCAUGUCUCAUCAACUAGUCUGGCUAUUUUGCACACAUCUUUGUUUUUUUUUUGUUUUGUUUUUUAAUCAGAAGCAGUUUUGGAGCAGGUAGGCCCGUAAUAUAUGUCCAAGAGAGUGUAUCUGAAUGCCAAGAACGUACAAGGAUGGAAAGUAGACUGCAUUGUUUUUUUAGCUCUACAUUUAUGUAUCGUUAACACUGCAUACUGGAACCACUGCAUUGCAGUUCACUCAACAGUCUAGAGCAAAAAUGGUUUGAGCCCAUUUUGAAUUGACAUUAUGGGUUGGACAUGCAGUGUGGCCUCCAAAAGCAAAAUGGCCAAUCGUAACAACUUGUCACAGUGAAACAGGUCACGUAACCCCGGUAUUGCUGAAUGCUUGAUCUGGUCAUGCACGGGCUUAUGUGCUUAUCCCAAAUUAUCAAACCUCUUUUUCCAAUUCUAACCAUGCAAUAUAGUGAACUGCAAGCGGUAAACUAACCCAUGUCUCUCUACCUUGUAUGUAUGUAAGGUUGUUUUUUUUUUUUUAUAAUUUGUGUGUUUAUUUUUUUGCGCACCUUUGUUGAUGGAGAAAAGCCAACAGUGCAUUUGGUUGCCGGCUCCCUCCAGCACAGCGGUGCGUUUACCAAGCUUGAACCAAAGUCAAUUUCUAGCAAGCUGCUGUACUAAUGGACUAGUUUGUAUAAGUGCAGUUCAGGCGCAGUAAGUGACAAAGAUAGAUGCUACUGACAAUUUGUUUUUUGUUUGUGUGUUUUUGGUGGGGGUUUCUUAUAUAUAAAUGUUGCUGCUUGUUUUGGGG